UAAUACGGAGGGUGCAAGCGUUGUCCGGAUUUACUGGGUGUAAAGGGCGUGUAGGCGGAGUGAUGUGUCGGGAGUGAAAUCGUACGGCUUAACCGUAUCAACUGCUUCCGAAACUAUCACCCUUGAAUGUCAGAGGGGCAGAUGGAAUUCCUGGUGUAGCGGUGGAAUGCGUAGAUAUCAGGAAGAACACCGGUGGCGAAGGCGAUCUGCUGGCUGAACAUUGACGCUGAGGCGCGAAAGUGCGGGGAGCAAACAGGAUUAGAUACCCUGGUAGUCCGCACCGUAAACGAUGGUCACUAGAUGUCGGGGGAUUCGACCCCUUCGGUAUCGACGCUAACGCAUUAAGUGACCCACCUGGGGAGUACGCUCGCAAGGGUG
rnacentral:rRNA from 1 species